AUUGAACGCUGGCGGCAGGCCUAACACAUGCCAGUCGAGCGGAUGAGCGGAGCUUGCUCCUUGAUUUAGCGGCGGACGGGUGAGUAAUGCCUAGGAAUCUGCCUGGUAGUGGGGGAUAACGUUCCGAAAGGAACGCUAAUACCGCAUACGUCCUACGGGAGAAAGCAGGGGACCUUCGGGCCUUGCGCUAUCAGAUGAGCCUAGGUCGGAUUAGCUAGUUGGUGAGGUAAUGGCUCACCAAGGCGACGAUCCGUAACUGGUCUGAGAGGAUGAUCAGUCACACUGGAACUGAGACACGGUCCAGACUCCUACGGGAGGCAGCAGUGGGGCAUAUUGGACAAUGGGCGAAAGCCUGAUCCAGCCAUGCCGCGUGUGUGAAGAAGGUCUUCGGAUUGUAAAGCACUUUAAGUUGGGAGGAAGGGCAGUAAGCUAAUACCUUGCUGUUUUGACGUUACCGACAGAAUAAGCACCGGCUAACUUCGUG
rnacentral:rRNA from 1 species